rnacentral:lncRNA from 1 species
GAUCAGAGAAUAAGCUUGGUAUUUAAAAGGUGUGGGGGAUGGUGACUUUGUUGAUCUCAUCAGCGAUGGGCAGAGUUAUGUCUAAUGUUUAAGACUUUGAGUGCUGGGUUGUAUCUCAGUGGUAGAAUUUACUAGUCUUGGAUCUGUAAGACCCUGGGCUCUAUACCUAGCACCACAGACACACAAAAAAAGUGUUUUUGAGAGAUUAUUAGGUAAGUAAUCUCCUACCUAAAAGAUGAACUACAUUAUAAAAAUUCAUUGAUUGAUUGUGGGAAAAAUGAUUUGAUUAUUUGGUUUGUGCUGUUAAAACACAUUCUUUGAGAUUCCACUAAAUUUAUUGCCUAGAAAAGUGACUCAUUAGAAAUCAGAGUGACAGAACCUUAUGUGUGAAUACUAUUAGUUUAGAAAGAUGCACAUGUUCUAUCUGGGGUAUUGGAAAUGUUCAGCGAGUUUUUCGUUGCUGUUUUUAUUUUCUUUUUGUUGGUUUGUUUGAUUUUAAACAGGACUUUGUGGUCUAGGCUGACCGGAAACUCCCUUAAGUACUCAAGGCUACUAUGAACUUGUACUAAUCAAAUUAACCUUCACUUUACCUUUUUUUUUUUUUUUUUUUAAGGGUUGCUUUUAUUGUUGUUACUAUUAAUGUAUAUGGGUGUUUCUCAGCAUGCUUGUCAGUGUGCCAUGUGUGUGCCUAGAACCUGUGGAGACGAGAACAAGGUAUCAGAUCCCUUGGAACUGAAGUUAGAGAUGGUUAUGGGCCACUGUGUGGGUGCUGAGUAUCAAAACCUGGUUCCACUUGAAAAGCAGCUAUUGCUCUCCACCAGUGAGUCAUCUCCAGCCCACUGGAAUGUUUUCAUUGUGCUCUGAAUAGUGCUUCUGGUAUUCACAGAGAUCUGUUAGAUUCUGUUGUGUUGUGCUUUGGUUUAGUUUGAAUGGUGUUUUGCCUUUGAAUGUAUGUUUUGAAAAAAAAAAAGUAGAAAGAAUUUUUUUACUUUCAGUGAGCUUUUGUUACUAUUUUAGACCUUUCCUGUUUUGAGUGGCCCUUUCACAUACCUACUUUAUUUAUAGUGGCAAUCUAUAAUUUUAAGUAGGUGUGGCUUGGGGUAGGGGUGCUAAUGGCUCAGUGAUGAUAUGUUUGUCUAGCAUAUGUGUGGCCUUAGGUUCCUUAUGCAAAAAAAGAAAAGAAAGACACAUCCUAACCUGUGUUAAAACUCAAUCUGAGCACUGCAUAUGGUAGGGGUACCUUGUCAUGUCAUUGCUUGGAAGGCAGGAGGAUCUUGAGCGUGAAACAAGCAGGACUAUUGAGACAUGGGCAGACAGUCUCC